rnacentral:rRNA from 1 species
AGUGAACGCUGGCGCUAGCCCUUAAACAUACAAGUCUAACUGCAUCACAGUAACAACUUGGUCGUACGAGUUGCGAUUUUCGGACUGGUGGGGAAUACAUCGGAAUCUACUUUUUCGAGGUGGAUAACGUAGAAAAACUUACGCUAAUAAAGCAUACGACCUACGGCUGAAUGCAGGAAUUCUUCCAACCUUGCGCGCUUGAAUGGGCCGAUGUCGGAUUAAGUAGUUGGCGGGGUAAAGGCCCACCAAGGCGACGAUCCGUAGCUGGUCUGAGAGGAUGAUCAGCCACACUGGAACUGAGACAAGGUCCAGACUCCUAAGGGAGGCAGCAGUGGGGAAUAUUGGACAAUGGGCGCAAGCCUGAUCCAGCCAUACCGCGUGGGUGAAGAAGGCCGUCGGGUUGUAAAGCCCUUUUGUUGGGAAAGAAAAGCAGCAGGUUAAUACCCCGCUGUUCUGACGGUACCCAAAGAAUAAGCACCGGCUAACUUCGUG